rnacentral:misc_RNA from 1 species
UUUCCGUAGGUGAACCUGCGGAAGGAUCAUUACUGAGUGAGGGCCCCUCGGGGUCCAACCUCCCACCCGUGUUUAACGAACCUCGUUGCUUCGGCGGGCCCGCCUCACGGCCGCCGGGGGGCAUCUGCCCCCGGGCCCGCGCCCGCCGAAGCCACCUGUGAACGCUGUCUGAAGUAUGCAGUCUGAGACAAUUAUUAAAUUAAUUAAAACUUUCAACAACGGAUCUCUUGGUUCCG